UACGUAGGGCGCAAGCGUUGUCCGGAAUUAUUGGGCGUAAAGAGCUCGUAGGCGGUUUGUCGCGUCUGGUGUGAAAAUCCAUGGCUCAACUGUGGACUUGCAUCGGGUACGGGCAGACUAGAGUGCGGUAGGGGAGACUGGAAUUCCUGGUGUAGCGGUGAAAUGCGCAGAUAUCAGGAGGAACACCGGUGGCGAAGGCGGGUCUCUGGGCCGUAACUGACGCUGAGGAGCGAAAGCAUGGGGAGCGAACAGG
rnacentral:rRNA from 1 species